rnacentral:tRNA from 1 species
GAUGAGGUGGCCAAAUGGUGAAGGCGAUGGACUGCUGAUUCAUUGUGGUCUGCAUGUGUGGGUUUGAAUCCCACCCUUGCUG